GUUCUGUCUGGGUCAAAACGGUUUUCUUUUAUACUNAACAUUUUCUUGGAAUUCUAAGCUUUCAGCUUGAAGUUUGCUUUUUUAACCCAUGUUUCAUCGCUUUCUAUCGACGAAUCUAGUUAUUUAANCGUCGCAGAUGUAAAAUCUUNGGCUUGAAUGAGAGUAUUCUAACAAUCAUGAUUCUAGGAUGUCGAGUUGUUCGAGGACCAGACUGGAAAUGGGGCGACCAAGAUGGAGGAGAAGGANGUGUUGGNACAAUUGUUGACCUACAAAANUUUGNAGNUGGUNAAANAUUGCCGUCNAAANCUGUNNUGGUGUGUUGGGAUAAUGGGAAGCAAGCUNAUUACAGGACUGGAUUNAAUGACUGCUACGAUUUACGAGUCUUUGAUUCCUCUUCAGCGGGAGUUGUGUUUAACGCUUUUACUUGUGAUGGAUGCAUGACCUCGGUCAUCACAGGAAUACGAUGGCACUGCACAGUAUGUCACGACUUCGACUUGUGUAAUGUUUGCUACAUGAAUGAUGUGCAUGAAAAAAACCAUGCAUUUAUGCGUUUUCAUAUAUCGAACGACAAAACCAAUGGAACCAAUGUUGGAAAGCGCUCUGACGCUGCUGAGAAAAAGAUUCGCGCCACUGGAAUAUUCCCUGGUGCCCUAGUAAAACAAGGACGGGACUGGACAUUAGACAAUGACUUAGGCUCAAAGGUUGGAAAAGUAGUAGGGCUAACUGCAUGGGAAAAUACACCCAGGAGUGCAGUCCUUGUAAACUGGGGUAACUCUAUUGAAAUCAAACACAGAGUUGGAUAUGAAGGCAAAAUGGAUUUAUGCCCAGUCAAAGCUGCAAAUGGGCNAUGUUACUAUAAAGACCAUCUCCCUGUGGUAUCUACGAUUAAUAUGCCGAGGUCAGGAGGGAAUGAAUUGCGAGAAGGAGACAUGGUGAAAACGGAACUGGACGUUGAAACACUGAAGCAGUUGGCGGAAGGUCAUGGGGGAUGGGUAGAUGCAAUGCAAAAAGUAACUAUAAAUUUGCGAACUGGAGACAAAGUCAGAGUUGCCGGUAACAAAGAAACAGUGAUGAACCUACAAGAAGGUCAUGGAGGCUGGAAUAAUGCAAUGGAAAAUGUAUUAGGUAAAGCUGGUAAAGUGAUUCGAGUUGUUGAUAACGGAGAUAUGGUGGUUAGCAUCGAGGAUCGUGUUUGGGUUUUUAAUCCAGAUGCUCUUAUUUUGGAGUCCAAAGAAGAAGAGAGAACGCCUGCUGGACAUGAAGAUCCUUCUUCCAGCUCUACAACUGCCUUAGAACUUCUGUUUCACGCUAUGCUUGAAGGAGUGGCAAACGCUUCCAGUUCAGAAGCCGGUUCAGUUGAACUUUUUGUUGCUACUACUGCUGGAAACUUGGAGCAAGUCAAGCAGAUCAUCGGUAACAACAAAGCCUUGGUAAAUCAAAAAUUUGCCAGUAACAAGACGCCCUUGCAAGUGGCCUGUCAUCAAGGAAAAUCUGAGAUUGUGUCUUAUCUACUGGAAAACGGAGCUGACAAAGAACUAAGGGAUGAACAAGGUUACACAGCAUUGCACCACGCUGCUUAUGGUGACGAAACCGGUGUUUGUGUUGUAGUCAUGCUUUCUGCUAAUGCUAAAGUGAAUCCAACCGAUUUGGACCGAACCCAGGUAACACCUCUCCAUCUAGCUGUUCAAAGAGGCAAUGAAGCAGGUGUGGUCGCUCUGGUACAAUCUAAGUAUUGUGAUGUCAAUUGCCAGGACGUAUUGGGAGACACACCUUUACAUGAAGCAAUUUUACGCAGUCAGAAUAACAUAUUCACCCUUCUACUCAAGGUCAAGAACCUGGAUCCAACUAUUUGUAAUGUAAAUGGAUUCAACAUACUGCAUUUGGCCUGUCUGAAAAACUGCCAACAUGCAGCCAAGUUAUUGAUAGAAAAGUUUCCAGGUUUAGUGGAUAUUACUAAAGAAGAUGGAUUUUCAGCUUUACAUGUGGUUUCAUUAAACAACCAUCAUGAAAUUGCCAAACAUUUGAUUUUAUCGGGUCAUUGUAGCAUCAAUAUGCGAAACCAUGAGGGCAUGACAGCUUUAGCUUUGUCUGUAUCAAGGAGUCACAAAGAAAUGAUCGAACUUUUGAUUAAGCAUCGAGCAGAUGCCAAUGUGGAAGAUAAAGAUGGAGACACACCCCUUCAUGUUGCUGUCAUGAAACACUGCAUCGUACACUCAGGGGUCGAUAUUCAGUCUUAUGGUUUGGAUGCUCCAGCAGGCAACGAGGCUGAAAAAGCCAUUGCACUUUUCCUAGUCACCCAAGGUGGAGCAAAAUCUGACUACAGUAACCAUCAAGGAAAGACCCCACUGGACCUUUGUAUUGAUACAGAAUUAAAGGGGAUGCUCAAGCGCCAAGACUUAGUGCGAAGAAAUAAAUACCAAGGUGGAACUCAAGCUGCUUUGGCUACACCACCACGACCAGUGCCAGGUUCUUUUCGAGCUCCUUCGCCUAGGACAGCUGUUCCACUACCGAUAGCCUCUCCUGUUGCAGGAAAUCCUAACCUGUUACCAACUUCACCAGGUUCUCCAAAGGAGCCUUGUGAGGAUCCUCCCAAUUCAUUUCCAGAACCUAAACCUAUUCCAGCUAAAAGUGCCAUAGGGUCAUCUGAUGAUGCCAAAAUGUUAAGUACAACUAAGCCUCUUCCAAUUGAUCCUCCUACGCCGGUAUCAAAGCUUCCAGCUGUUGUUUCAGCAGGAGGAACAGUAUCGUCAAGACCGAUGGAUACAAGGGCUAUAGCCACUGCGCCUGGGCCUGCAACCCCAUNUAGAUCUACUGCUGAAGCGACUCCAGAACCUAAACCUAUUCCAGCUAAAAGUGCCAUAGGGUCAUCUGAUGAUGCCAAAAUGUUGAGUACAGCUAAGCCUCUUCCAAUUGACACUCCUUUGCCGGUUUCAAAGCUUCCAGCUGUUGUUUCAGCAGGAGGAACAGUAUCGUCAAGACCGAUGGAUACAAGGGCUAUAGCCACUGCGCCUGGGCCUGCAACCCCAUCUAGAUCUACUGCUGAAGCGACUCCUGCUGGUGAUAUAUCCAUGGCGUUAGCGAACCUGGAAUUACGAGAUGACACAUCUGCAUCUAAUGUUGUAGGCACUUCUUCUGCAGAAUCCGAAAGGAAUACCAAUAAUAUUAUAGAGUCAGAAAUAAGCACCUCUUCAAAUGAAAAGGCAAAAAUGGUGGAAUCACAAAAGUCUAACUUGCAGGAUGAACUGUGUUGUUAUUGUAGAGAGGACAAAGCAGAUGUGAUUUUCAAGCCUUGCAACCACAAAGUCGUGUGUCAGGGUUGCUCNGUGAGAGCAAAGGUUUGCCUCCAAUGCAAACAAAACAUCACUAGCAAAAUUGCUUCAGNUAACUAAGCGUAAGAUUAGUUUCUAAGCUGUCGCACAUCUUUUAGUCAGCACGUUCUCAGUAGCCGAUCCAUGGGAUGUUAGCAAGCUGAGNGAAUUUCCUGCCCUACCUUGCAAAUGGGGAAAGAGGCUCCACUCGUGUCCUUUACAGACGUCAAAAAGGAUUAUGAAAAGAAAAUAAAUAAAUUAGAGCGUCUGGCAUUUUGUCAAAUUUGCAUGGAAGACGACAGACCAAGCAACGUGGUAUUCCG
rnacentral:misc_RNA from 1 species